UAAAGUUUAGUUUAUAUAAAACAAAUGUUUUGAAAACAUUAAUAGGAAAGCUCUCCAACUUUUA
rnacentral:tRNA from 1 species